rnacentral:tRNA from 1 species
GCCCUGCGGGUGUGAGGGACGCAUGCCAGACUUCGAAUCUGGCGGACGGGGUUCGACUCCUCGGCGGGGUA